AGCCUUCGCACGUUACCAAUUGCACAUGUCAGCUAAAAGACGGCACUAUUAGUCAUUUCCCGGAUAAUACCCGGUGUUACGUGCCGGCUGUAGGAUAUGAAAAUGAAUACGCCAACAGACCCGGGUGGUGCACGAAUGGCAGGUGUAUUCCAGAUACCGUACCGUUUGGAUGUGCAGGAACGGAGCCUCCGACGCAGAAAGGUUCUCGUCUGCCACUUGGAUGCACAUUCACGUGCUACAAUGCCACUCAACACAGAACAGAGUUUGGUUAUUAUCCAGUAGGAACUCCGUGUCUG